rnacentral:lncRNA from 1 species
UCCUGUGUUAGAACUUUCAAGCAGUUCCUUUUUUAAAGCAACUUUCCCCCCCACAGUAUCCUGUUUCCUCAGAGGGGAGGUAGGCUGUCCACCCUCCGAGCUGUGAUUACCAGAGCCAGCUUCCCCUGAAGUCUUCACAUCUCCACAUCCAGCUAGCACACUGUUUCUGAAAAUGUCUAGGUCAGCCCUGAGGAAGACAGAGGGGAAGGCUCCUCAAAGCUCCAUCUUACUCAGGCUCCGGGGCGUGAAAGGUUUCCAUGGCAAGGGAAGGAGGCAGUGAGGCUGCAGUGUCUCCUUCUCAGCUUCACAAUGGAUUCCAACUUCCAGCUACUUCCUAAGGUAAGUUGUUACAUGGGUCAUCUGGGUUCCAGGACGCCAAGAAGGGUUUAGCAGUUACCAUCUAGAUAGGGCCUCCUCUUUAGACAAAGGAUUAGAGAGGGGUUGAAGGGCAAAAGAGAAGGGGAAGCCUCUGUUAUAACGUCAGUCUAGCAGCUAUCUGGAGAAGAGAGGCGCCGUCUCCAUCGGGUCCUCUCUGAUGACCUGCAGCUUGUGGAAAAUAACAGAAUCCAAUAUCAACGCACUAAAUUUUUAGGUAGUUUGUUACAUAGCAAUUGAUGAGCAAAAGAACUGUCAUUAAGCCAGGG